GGAGAGUUGGCCGAGUGGCUGAAGGCGGACGCCUCGAAAGCGUUUAAACGGUGUUGAGCCGUUUCGCGGGUUCAAAUCCCGCACUCUCUU
rnacentral:tRNA from 4 species